GAAGCCCCGGAGGAAGCCACUGACCGCAGUGCAUGCUGGGGGUUGUAGUUCUCGUGUACUCCACGGGUAAACAAGUCAGAGAAGCAGGCAGAGGAACCAACUCAGUAAAACCCGAGCUAUGUGAGAUGAAUGCUUGCUGGAUCCCGGGAUUUAGGCUAAAGUGGGCCAGCCUAGCCUGCCUGCUGAAGACAUAAGAAAGGGUUUUUGAAGGCGUCUCUCAUAAGAUGGCAUUUGAGCAGAGACCUGAGGAAGUGAAAGAUGGAGGGCUGAAGCUUCCAGUUAGAGGAACAAGCAAAGACCCCGAGCAGGAUCAGGAAAGUGUGGUAGAGACAUAAUCAAAGAUUCAGACAAAGAUAUAACUACAGAAUGCACAUGACGGUUUUGUUAAUACACCAAAAGGAAAAAAAUUAAAUAACGGACUCUCCCAAUAAAUUGUGACCAUCUAUAGUUUGGAAUAACAUGAAGAUUGUUAAAAACUAUGUUUACAAGAAUGGCAAUAACAGAGAAACACUUGCUAUAUAAUUUUCACAAUAACAAGGUGAAGAAAUAUUAUAUAUAUAUAUAAUAAAAUUCAAAUUUUUAAGAGAAAUUAAAAUGUAUAGAAAACAUUGGAAAAGGAUACACUUAAUAAUCUUUUUUUCAGCAUGGUAGAAUUGUGGGUGAUUUUUGUUCCCUUUAUAUUUUUUAAUACUUUGUACUUUUUAAUGACAAAUGUAUAUACUACCAUUUAAUGAUAAAAAUAUAUUUUUAAAAUACUGGAUAAGAAUUAUUCAAAUAAAUGCCUUAUUUAAAAGUUAAAUUGCAGACCAAGUGCAGUGGUUCACGCCUGUAAUCCCAACACUCUGAGAGGCCAAGGUAGGAGGACUGUUUGAGGCCAGGAGUUUGAGACCACCUUGGGCAACAGAGCAAGACCCUGUCUUUGCUGGGCAUGGUAGUAUGAGCCUCCAGUCCUGGCUACUCAGGAGGUUGAGGCAGGGGGAUUGAUUGAGCCCAGGAGGUCAAGGGUGCAGUGAGCUAUGAUUGUGCCACUUGCACCCCAGCCUGGGCAACAGAGCAAGACCGUCUCUACAAAUAAAUAAGUAAAUAAAUAAGAUACAAUAAAAAUUAAAUUGCAAAUGAAAAGUUACACUCUAUCUCAUCCUAUUGUAUACUAGAAAUUAUAAUUUUCCUCCAAUUCAUUACUUUGAUUAUUCUACAAAAUCAAGACUAAACUGGAAUUCAAAUCAGAAAGGCUAAGAAGCAAAGAAUAACAAUGGUGAACUUCAAGAUAAAUAUCCCACAUUAUUUUCAAGGCAGAGGCCAGUGUUGCCUUCUGCAUCUGUUUUGGGAAGAGUGCCCAAAGCCUUCAGAGGAGACAACCUUUUGUGCUGUGUCCCCUACUCCCCCCCCCAUUCUUACCCUGAAUAGCAUUCUUUCCAAAAAAGAAUAAAGAAUACUCAAGGAAAACUAUUAAAAUGCUUGGCAAAACUACACAGACAGACACAGAGGCCAAUUAAGUAUAAAUAUUUCACACCAGAACUGUCUUUUUGACCCAGCCACUAAUAUCUACCCGGCCACAGAUCUAAAUGUUUGGAUGAAAACGACAGAGCAGAGGAGGGCUGGUCAGCCAGCUGCAGAGGGGCGCCCCUUCGGAGCGUUCGCAUCUGCCUGAAGAAUAUGUGUAGUACGUUUUCCUAGAAGCAUGGAGGGGCAUGCGGGUUUGACCAUCUUCCUAAACCUGGAGAAGGUCACUGUUUUCCUUCAGGGAUUAUUCUGUCUCACCGCUUUUGUUUUUUGGUUUCCCUUGAUCUAAAACAAAAGGGUCUACUUUCUUCUUUGGAUUUUGAAGCUGUGGGUGCCUUUCUUCUCAGUUAAUUUUUUUUUUUGUUUUCAUCUGUUAAGACUUAGCUAGUUUAGGUUUUGAAAAUGAACACACUGACAGCCAUUGUGAGAAGAUAGCCUGGCCUUUUGGAGGACAAAUGCUGUGGGGUGGCGUAACCUUGAGGCUCAAGUCCUGGCACUGGCAUUUAGUGUGAGUCAUGCUGUAUUGCUUCACCUCCUGGGCUUCAGUCUCUCCAUCUGUGAAUGUAGAAUGACAAUACCUGCUGUGCUGUAAGGUCACUGUGAAGAUUAAAUGAGAUAAUGCUUUGUAACCUGUUGGCCUCUGUGCAGUUUAAAAUGAUGUUUUUCAUUACUUGGCUAAGUGCUGUACACCCACUGCUCUGUAGGCAAAAUUCAAACAAAAAGCUUUGUAAUGCUCCCACCCAUUGAAAACAUUACUAUGUUAGCCUCUAUAUACAUAAAUUAUUAUAACAAUACCUGGAAGGUAGGAAACACACUUUGAAUUAUAUUGUUUCUAAGAGUGAGGAUAAGGAUUACUUUCAUUCAUUUAUACUUUUUGGGCACCAAUAAUAUGUAUUUGUAAGAUGAGAUGGCCACUUUAUAGAUUGCAUCUUGUAUAUUAAGAAACAAUUAAAUCUAUUUUAAAAGUACAGCUAAAAACCUCCAUUUCCCGAAAUAGCGUGGAUUAGAUUACCUAAAAUCUUUCCUACUACAAAACAUCUAGAAAUGUUAAAAACCUGUAAUAUUCUUUUAAAUUCAUUAUUUGAAUUCCAAGAAAGUAAGAAAUAUCCCUAGGGAAAAAAAUGAAGAUGGAUCUGAACACCAAAAUGUAAGCACAAGCCAAUGUUGCAACAGCCUGGGUGGGGAAAGGGGAGUGAGAAAGUAUGAAGUUGCCAAUCUUAUUAGGCAAGAGGAUCUGCCUCUCUCAAUCUCUAUCUCUCUUUUUAAAAAAUUAAAUUAAAAAAUUUCAAGCACUCACAUAGAAUACUAUAUGACACCUCCAAAUACCUGUCACCUAGAUUCAUUACCAAAAUCUUGCAACAUUUUAUCUUUAUUGUUUGUAUUUUUAUCUUUGCUGAAGUUUUUACAUUGAAUCCUAGACAUCAUGCCAUUUCACUUCACAUAUUCUUAUAUGCAUAUCUAUUUAAACAGCACAGGAAAAGAGGUAUGAGUAUAAAAUCAAAGAAUUCAAACAGAGGCCUUAUAAUGUUAAACUUGAAUUGGAAAUAUUAGCAUGAACUCUCUCUUAAGAGAGAGUUUUAUCUCUUAAGAGAAAAGGCCUGGCAAAAAUGAAAACUCAGGAGCAAGAGGUCUUUGAUGACUUCCUUUUUUCUGACACUGAAAGAUGCCCCAGGAUCUUCUUGGACAUUUCUUGUCCCAAAUCUGUAAUUAUUCAUUUUUCCAAGGAAGCCUGGUCUUCUUAGUAAGAAAUGACACUUAAUGACCAAUCCAGGACUGACACAGAUCCUAGAAUAAGCAAACAAGGACCUUGAAGCAAUUACCAUAACUGUAUUCAAUAUGUUCAAAAAGUUAAGAAAGACAUGGAACAUAAAUUUUUAAAAUUAGACUUCUAGAGAUGAAAACUACAAUGUGUGAGAUGAAAAACACACUGAAUGGGAUGAGGGGAUUAACAGUAGAUUUGACAUUUUUUAAAAAGAUUAAUGAACUGGAGGACAUAAGCAAUAAAAAACAUUCAAAAUAAAAAAUAUAGAAAAAAUAAGUUUAAAACAUGAAAAAAGCAUCAGUGAGCUGUGGCACAACUUCAAGUUUUUAAUAUAAUAGGGGAUCCUAAAGAAGGGGGGAAAUAGAAAAAUAUCUGAUGAAUAAUGGUCAAAAUAUUCCCCCCGAUUUGAUGAAAACUGUAAAACUACAAUCCAGAAAGUUCAAUGAAUCUCAAGCACAAAAAUUAUGAAGAAAACUACACCAAGAUACAUCAUAAUAAAAAUACUCAAAGCCAGUGAUAAGAGAAAAUUUUCAAAGCAGUACAUUUAUCUACAGAGGAACACAUGUAAGGGUGAUAGCAGACUUCUCAUAGGAAACAAUGCAAGUGAAAAGACAAUGGUGCAACACCUAAAAAAAGCACUGAGCACUAAGUGAAAGAAAAACUCUGUAAACCUAGUAUUGUAUACCUAGUAAAAUAUCUUUCAAAAAUAAGGUAAAAAUAAAAACUACUUUCAAACAUAUGAAAGCUGAAAGAAUUAAUCACCAGCAGACAUACACAAUUAAAC
rnacentral:lncRNA from 1 species